CGUAGGGACCGAGCGUUGUCCGGAUUUAUUGGGCGUAAAGAGCUCGUAGGCGGCCCUUCGCGUCGGAUGUGAAAGCUCAGGGCUUAACCCUGAGAGGCCAUUCGAUACGGGAGGCUAGAGGUAGGUAGGGGAAAGUGGAAUUCCUGGUGUAGCGGUGAAAUGCGCAGAUAUCAGGAGGAACACCAAUGGCGAAGGCAGCUUUCUGGGCCUUACCUGACGCUGAGGAGCGAAAGCUGGGGGAGCGAACAGGAUUAGAUACCCUGGUAGUCCCAGCCGUAAACGUUGGGUGCUAGGUGUGGGGAGGUCUUCAACCCUCUCUGUGCCGAAGCUAACGCAUUAAGCACCCCGCUGGGGAGUACGGCCGCAAGGCUA
rnacentral:rRNA from 1 species